rnacentral:rRNA from 1 species
UACGUAGGGCGCAAGCGUUGUCCGGAAUACUGGGCGUAAAGCGUGCGCAGGCGGUUUUGUAAGUCUGUCGUGAAAGCCCCGGGCUCAACCUGGGAAUUGCGAUGGAGACUGCAAGGCUUGAAUCUGGCAGAGGGGGGUAGAAUUCCACGUGUAGCAGUGAAAUGCGUAGAGAUGCGGAGGAACACCGAUGGCGAAGGCAGCCCCCUGGGUCAAGAUUGACGCUCAUGCACGAAAGCGUGGGGAGCAAACAGG